GAGGGUAUAGCUCAAGUGGUAGAGUACAUGCUUAGCAUGCACAAGGUCUUGGGUUCAAUUCCCAGUACCUCCU
rnacentral:tRNA from 1 species